rnacentral:tRNA from 1 species
UUCUAAUAUGGCAGAGUAGUGCGAUGAAUUUAAGCUUCAUAUAUAAAGGUAACUUUUUUUAGAAA